rnacentral:rRNA from 1 species
GACGAACGCUGGCGGCGUGCCUAAUACAUGCAAGUCGAACGCAGUGGGGACGGGUGAGUAACCCGUGGGUAACCUCCCAUCAGAGGGGAUAACACUUGGAAACAGGUGCUAAACCGAUACUGAUGGAUGGACCCGCGGUGAAUUAGAUAGUUGGUGAGGUAACGGCUGCCCAAGGCCACGAUGCAUAGCCGACCGUGGAGGGUGAUCGGCAACACGGGGACUGAGACACGGCCCAGACUCCUACGGGAGGCAGCAUUAGGGAAUCUUGGGCAAUGGACGAAAGUCUGAUCGAGCAACGCCGCGUGAGUGAAGAAGGGUUUCGGAUCGUAAAGCUCUGUUGUUAGGGAAGCGGUAUCUAACCAGAAAGCCACGGCUAACUACGUGCCAGCAGCCGCGGUAAUAC